rnacentral:lncRNA from 12 species
AUGGCUGCAGAUGCGGCUAUGGCUAUGGAUGUGGCCCCUAUUCUGGCUGUGGUUAUAGAACUGGCUAUGGCUGUGGCUAUGGCUGUGGCUAUGGCUCAGGUUAUGGCUGUGGCUGUGGCUAUGGCUCAGGCUAUGGCUGUGGCUGUGGCUCAGGUUAUGGCUGUGGCUGUGGCUAUGGCUCAGGUUAUGGCUGUGGCUGUGGCUCAGGUUAUGGCUGUGGCUGUGGCUAUGGCUCAGACUAUGGCUGUGGCUGUGGCUAUGGCUCAGGUUAUGGUUGUGGCUGUGGCUAUGGCUCAGGAUGGGGCUGUGGAAGAGGCUUCAGCUCUGGGUGUGGAUAUGGCUCUGGCUGCUGGGGCUACCGACCCCUUUGCUACAGAAGAUGUUAUUCUUCUUGCUGCUAGACCAUCACUCUCCAAGCCCUGUUUGUUUCUGAAAGGAUGCAUUUAGUGAGAUGCCUGAUUCAAGCCUCCAAAUCCAAGAUUUCUAUGCCUAGGAAAUGGCAUACUUGACAGAGCCUUUUUCCUCCAGUGAACAUUUUUUUUUUAAUAUGGCAUCUCAUGGCUUGAAUCUAUGUGGUAUCAUCUGACCAUUUCCAAAUGUUCUAUACUCUCUUAAUCUGGAUUGUGUUUGUUGUGUGCAAGCAAUCCUAACAUCUCACAGUUGGGGAAAUCACUUAUUGUCAAUAAAAAUGGUUCUUUGUUUCUAACUGAUCUCUGU